GACAGAGGUGCCGAGCGUUAGGCGGAAUCACUGGGCUUAAAGCGUGUGUAGGCGGGCGGGCAAGUACCUUGUGAAAUCCCACGGCUCAACCGUGGAACGGCUGGGUAUACUGCCUGUCUUGAGCCAACUAGGGGCGAGCGGAACAGACGGUGGAGCGGUGAAAUGCGUAGAUAUCGUCUGGAACGUCAAAGGUGAAAACAGCUCGCUGGGGUUGUGCUGACGCUGAGACACGAAAGCCAGGGGAGCGAACGGG
rnacentral:rRNA from 1 species